GUGGCUUCACUUUGUGACAUUGUUGCUUACACUCUAUUGAUGUUUGUUUGGCACUGGCUGAAGUGAAGCUAGAGAAUUGUUCCUCUCGCUAUCCAGUGUUCCUCCUUGUUGUGGCGCAUUUGGACGUUGGGGAACUACGGCU